AUCUCGUUAGUGCUGUUGUUUUGUGCAAGUCUAGAAUGUUUGAAAGUGAUUGCAAUGAAAGUUAUAAAAUUUCCAAAGCAAGGUUAAUAGCUCUUUCCUUAAACAAGAAAUUUAGCAAUAACAUUUACAGCUGUAUCCAAGGACUAGCUGCACCAGCGAUCUGACAUGAGAAAAAGGCCUUGAAGUGGCAGAUAGAUGUCUAUAUCUGGAGAACGGUAGCCAAUGUUUAGCAUAGCAUUUUCUUGGACAUCCUUUAUCUCUCCAAAUCCCAUGUCGCACAGUUUAAGCCAUAACAUCACUUCAGAUAAGCUUGACGCUGAAAAAGAUCAAGAAAGAAAUCAAAAUGGCUGUGAUGAUGGAGAUGAGUAUCCUGAUCUGAAGCCUAUUCCUUUCGGCUACGCUACGAGAAAUUCAAGAUUUCGGAAUGAAUUUGUGGCGUUGCAAACGCUUGGAAAAAGAAGGGUUUGCUUCACUUGUCAAGGUAACUUGAAUUUUUAUUGUUUAAAUGGAGGGUAAUUUGGUCAUGUGAAGGAAAUUUUGUACGUGAUUUGGAAAUGCUUUAUAUACGCUUACGUAUGUAAUAAAUUGGACGGCUGUCUCUAUGCUAUGCAAUCAAAAGCAUUCCUUUGAAUCCGAAAAGUGUGCUGUUUAAUCGCAAAAUUACUGGGUAAGAGAAUCUUUUUUUGUAGAUUGAAUCAUGAACAUAUCGUAAGGCAAAAAGAAAUCCACUAUCAAAAAUGAAUCAAAAUUUUCUAACAUA